UAACGAAUAUUCCGCAAUGGACGAAAGUCUGACGGAGCAAUGCCGCGUGCAGGAUGAAGCGGUUUCGCCGUGUAAACUGCUGUCAGGGGCAGGAAAAACUGAUCCGCCCCAAAGGAAGAGACGGCUAACCCUGUGCCAGCAGCCGCGGUAAUACAGGGGUCUCGAGCGUUAAUCGGAAUCACUGGGCUUAAAGGGUGCGUAGGCGGAUCCGUAAGCGCUUUGUGAAAUCCCCCGGCUCAACCGGGGAACUGCAGGGCGAACUGCGGAUCUUGAGGAAACUAGAGGCCGGUAGAACGAUUGGUGGAGCGGUGGAAUGCGUAGAUAUCAAUCGGAAUGCCAAAAGUGAAGACAGCCGGCUGGGGUUUUCCUGACGCUGAGGCACGAAAGCGUGGGAGCAAACCGGAUUAGAUACCCCCGUAGUCCCUGAGCGGGCUGGCAAGGCGCAU
rnacentral:rRNA from 1 species